rnacentral:lncRNA from 1 species
CUGGGCCACAUCAGCGUUUCCCAGGGCUUGUUUCACCGCUCUCUAGUCUCUAACUACACGCUGCAACAACAGCUCUCAGUGGUCAGGACCGGGGGACAUGCCAUACCCCCUGCACUCGACCUCUCUGAUCCUCAGGAUGCUGCUUCUCCUACUGCAGAGUUUAUUUAACUCCCAGCGUUGGCUGGCUCUAGGGUCCUGUGGCCAUGGGGCACCUGCCAGCAUCCUGCAGAUCCAAUCCUGCAGGCGCCCCUUUGGGAAAGGCAGGACCAGACGACCCUAAGUCCCCCCAAGGCUGAUCCUCUUUUCCUGCACUCUGUCCCCCGCCUGCCUGUGGUGCUCCCAGCACUCUGACAAGGCAGAGUGAUUGACGCCUCCUGUCCCCUGGGGUUGGGGGCAUCCUGAGGGGGCAGGCUUGAACCAGACUCUGGCUAUGGGCCCCAGACCCUCAUGUAUCUCCUGAAAGAUCCCAGGGACAGCUCUAAUGGCUGUGGUGGGAGUAACCCUGUCUCUCUUCUGGCACCCCAAACAUCUGGCCUGGAAGUCAAGAUCAGCACAUUGGGUGGGCUCAGGAGAGGGAAAGGGGCUAUGCAGGGCAGAGAGACCCCUGAACAGUGGUCUCUGAGGCCUCAUCACUCAGUUGUCCCUUCCGGCCCAGGGUCCUAUACUAUACCCAGGACAGGGAUUCUUGGAGCUGCCGGCAAGAGGGAGGAGACAGGACUAUGGGUGGAGGGUCCCAGCCUGCAGGAGCCCCGGGCAUGUCUUAGCUCUGAUCCGGGCCUGGGGAGCUCCAGGACUUGCCUUGGCCUGUUUGGCUUCUAGCAGGCGCCUUUCUGCUCUCUGCUCAAGCCUGGCCCACAGAGCACCUGGCAGGGGAGGUGGCCGCUCUCAGGUGUGAUUCAGAGCAGCCCCCAGAAUGAGGUGUGGGUCCUUUUGGCCCCUCUGGGACCAGCGCUGUGCCACUAAUGCCUCUCUCUCUCCCAGCAGGCACUGGGAAAACCCCUUAUCAGUUCACCACCUUGGGACAGGCCACUGCAGAGUUUUCCAAACCACUGGGUCGCAGUGGGCUGUCUAAAAAUAAUCCCGGCUAUCCCUCCCUCAUGCGGAGCCAAAGCCCCAAGGCCCAGCCCCAGACUUGGAAAUCUGGCAAGCAGACUAUGCUGUCUCACUACCGGCCAUUCUACGUCAACAAAGGCAACGGGAUUGGGUCCAACGAAGCCCCAUGAGCUC